rnacentral:rRNA from 1 species
AUCGGGUAACUGCCGGGCACUCUGGAAGGACUGCCAUCGACAAGAUGGAGGAAGGUGGGGAUGACGUCAAGUCAUCAUGGCCCUUAUGUCCAGGGCGACACACGUGCUACAAUGGCCGGCACAACGGGAAGCGAGGUUCGCGAGGACAAGCGGAUCCCUUAAAGCCGGUCGCAGUUCGGAUUGAAGUCUGCAACUCGACUUCAUGAAGCUGGAAUCGCUAGUAAUCGUGGAUCAGCCAAGCCGCGGUGAAUACGUUCCCGGGCCUU